UAGGGAAUCUUCGGCAAUGGACGGAAGUCUGACCGAGCAACGCCGCGUGAGUGAAGAAGGUUUUCGGAUCGUAAAGCCCUGUUGUUAGAGAAGAACGUUGGUAGGAGUGGAAAAUCUACCAAGUGACGGUAACUAACCAGAAAGGGACGGCUAACUACGUGCCAGCAGCCGCGGUAAUACGUAGGUCCCGAGCGUUGUCCGGAGUUAUUGGGCGUAAAGCGAGCGCAGGCGGUUCUUUAAGUCUGAAGUUAAAGGCAGUGGCUUAACCACUGUACGCUUUGGUAAAUGGAGGACCUCAGUGCAGAAGGGUAGAGUGGAAUUCCAUGUGUAGCGGUGAAAUGCGUAGAUUGAUGGAGGAACACCGGUAGCGAAAGCGGCUCUCUGGUCUGAAACUGACGCCGAGGCUCGAAAGCGUGGGGAGCAAACAGG
rnacentral:rRNA from 1 species